UCCAUCGUGAGGUGGAAUCUGAAGGAAGCCCAAGGCAAAGUCCCGGUCCGAUGAACAAGAACCAGAUACAAGGCUAAGUGAAGUGGACGAGUUUGCAAGGCAAAACGAAGUCCAAUAGCUAUCCAGAACUUCACGGAGUAAAUCUGGCGGAUAGAUGGGAUGAAAGUUAUUGCA
rfam:Shinella sp. DD12 SHLA_152c, whole genome shotgun sequence.